rnacentral:tRNA from 1 species
CGGGAUGUAGCGCAGCCCGGUAGCGCAUCACGUUCGGGACGUGGGGGCCGCUGGUUCGAAUCCAGUCAUCCCGA